GACCGCGUAGCUCAGUUGGAAGAGCAUUAGGCUGGUAUUCCAAAGGUCGUAGGUUCGAAUCCCACCGUGGCCG